CUAAGUUCCCUAACCCCUCUUCCUUCUAGUCUCCAGCCUCCACAACGCGAAGCAGCAGUCCAGAGUCCAGACUCUAGCCCCAAUUCGUCUCAACCUCAUCGAAGCCGCCGGCGCAUGUCCGUCCAGCCACCGCCGCCGUCCCAACUUCGAGCUUCGAAGGCAACGGCGCAACGUCCGUCCAGCCACCGCCGUUUAAGCUUCGAAAAUCGAAGCCACCGUCGCCGGUCUCGCCUCUUGCCUCCGUCGCGCAGCCACCUCCCGCCGGUGCCAGCUCUGUUCCACACCACCACGUCGGCCACUGUCUUUCCAGCCACCGUCCCCAGCCACUUCCACACCCUCACCAGCUCUGCCCUGUUCCAGCCUUCCAGGAUCCAGCUUCUAGCCUAGCUGUCAUUGGAGCCAUUCACACAACCACUUUGGCCAAGCUCUCUGCUAAAAGGCAAGAAGUUCUUUCUCCAGCAGGCAACAUUGUUGAACAGGAAACUGGAUAAUAUAAAGAUAAAGAGUGCUAUAAGAUGUUUCAAGAUUUUGAGUUAAUAUACCAAUGAAUUAUCAACUCAAUCUGCUAGAGACGCUAGGGCAGCUCUUUGGGCCUAAUACAACUAUCUUUUUGGCUGGCGAGCGUCAAAAUGAUGCCAUUCUUGAAUACUUCCUAGAAGCUGCAGUGAACAAUUUCAGAAUUGGUCGCAUUGAUCAAAAUCUGUGGCAUCCUGAUUAUUGCAGCAACAGAGUUGUUCUUUAUGUUCUUGUGAAGAAAUGAAGGUUUCAGAAUUAAUGAAACUAUGUUACUUUAUAGUUUAGGAAGACUUUCACAUGUUCCAUUUACUUUAUUGGAACAUUGAUAUACCAUGUAUUAAACGGUAAUAGAUAAAGAUUUUGUCGUCUAACACGUGAUACAAUGUCUAAAAUAUCCCUGAAAUAAUGCAUAAAAGACUAAUAUAACACUAAUAAAGUGUCGGCUAAUCGGCUUUGUUGUUAACUUGUUAUAUGAUGAUUGAUGAGAGAUGUUUCAAGGCAAGCCAAGCUUUCCAUGAAUUGCAGCUCAUGGGCUAAUUUUUCUAAGGAUCCGUCAAUUAGUUGGAGUUUUUUGGGGUUGUUUUGUUGUAAUAUAAUUAGGAUUUAUA